rnacentral:rRNA from 1 species
GACGGAGGGUGCGAGCGUUAAUCGGAGUUACUGGGCGUAAAGCGCAUGGAGGCGGCCGGCGACGUCAGGUCUGAAAUCCUCGGGCUUAACCUGGGAAGUGGACUUGAUACGGUCCGGCUAGAGUUUGGCAGAGGGAAGUAGAAUUCCCGGUGUAGCGGUGAAAUGCGUAGAGAUCGGGAGGAAUACCAGUGGCGAAGGCGGCUAUCUGGGCCUAUACUGACGAUGAGGUGCGAAAGCGUGGGUAGCAAACAGG